GCAGACGUGCCUGCCACCCUGAGCAUGCCUGAUCUUGUCUGAUCGCGGAAGCUAAGCAGAGAUGGGCCUGGUUAGAACUUGGAGGGGAGAGAUCCCUUGUGAUGAGAUCACUUUCUCU
rnacentral:rRNA from 1 species